UACGUAGGGUCCGAGCGUUGUCCGGAAUUACUGGGCGUAAAGAGCUCGUCGGUGGUUUGUCGCGUUGUUCGUGAAAACUCACAGCUCAACUGUGGGCGUGCGGGCGAUACGGGCAGACUGGAGUACUGCAGGGGAGACUGGAAUUCCUGGUGUAGCGGUGGAAUGCGCAGAUAUCAGGAGGAACACCGGUGGCGAAGGCGGGUCUCUGGGCAGUAACUGACGCUGAGGAGCGAAAGCGUGGGGAGCGAACAGG
rnacentral:rRNA from 1 species